UUUAGGCUAUGAAGAUAAUGGAGAAGCUAGAGAAAUAAAAGAGAGAAGAUGAAAAAUUGUUCGGAAAAAACAGCAAACUUAGAAACCUGUCCUCAAGACAAAGAUUUUUUUCUGUGUGAACCAAGACAGAAUUACCCUCUUCUGCUGAACGAUAUAUGUACUGCUACAGAUCACUGAACCAUUUCAAGUUACUGAGCUAGUGCUACCUGGUGAUUCAGAUAAUGGAUUGGCACUUGAGAUCUUCUGGAAAGGAUGAAGAGUCAACCUCUUCUCAAUCCCUCCAUGCCAUCCUUUUCCAUGGAUCUUCCAACUUGAAUAGAAACUCUGCACUAAAUUCCUGAGCUUUAAGGAAGGUAUUCUCAGCAUCUACAAGAUAGGAAACAUCUCUUCAUCAGAGAAGAGAGAAUACCAGAAGCUCAUAAGCCAUAUUAAAAACCACAGAAGCCAGAAAAAGCAAAAAUCCUUAACUGAGUGGCCUUUCAGCUUCUGCCUCCAACACUGAUUGAUGCCUUAAAGUUACCCUUUGGUCUUCUACUUCCAUCUCUUCUGCCAAGGUGCCGAGGACAGCAGCCCGAUAACUCUCAGGGUUUGGUUCCACAUGUGGCCUGAGAAAGUACCAGUACUGUGCCAUCUUAAAGCAAUGUGUUUGGUGAAUGCCCUUGAAUGGGUGCAUUCUCAAACUCUGCAUUGUGCUCAGCAUCACUUGCAUGGCACUGACCUUGCAGGUUUUCCACAGCAGCUUGCUGUCUUUGCUUGGGCCAUAACGAGCUACAUUUGUGUGAGGAGCUCUGAGACCUUUGUCAAAGAGCACUGCAUCAAAAAGCACAAAAUCUGCCUACACAUCACCAAAGAAACCUAAGAGGCUCUUGGGUUUCCUGAGGUUAAACCAGUUUACAUUAGUUCUGAGUGUUUUGCAGAUUGUCACUUAUUUGUCUCAAUAGGGUGCAGAUAGUGCUGGAUGGCCAUCUGUCCCCUGUUUCAGCUGCCAGCAAUCAGCCACUUGGCAGGGCUAAACAAAGAAUAUCUCCAUGAUAUUUAAAGACAUACUGGACAUUUUACUGGGAGAUUCCUGACAGCAGUUCUAUAUUUAGGAAGCAUUUUAGUUAAAAGAAGACUGAAAGUAGUAAGUGGAGUGCUUCGGAGUCAACCGAGUCUGAAGAAUAAGUUGAAAUAAACUUUGAGGCCAUUGAGGCUUUUCAAGGAUUUUAAAAGUUUAAUAAAUUCAUUUAAAAUGCAUUUUUGUUCUUGAAUUUUACAAAUCAAGCCAACGUAUAAUUAGAUUGUUAUUAAAUGAGUGUAUUCUCCUACCUCAUUUUCAAAAUAGAUUGAACUGAAGUGACAUAUAUCUUCAGGUAUCUUCUGACUCAGCAAAUCUUCUUUCCAGAAUGAAAUGGGGGUAAAUCUGAACUAGAUCAAACACUAUCCAAACAGUACAAUUGAUACUAAUUUCUGUUUCCAAACAUGCAAAUGAGAUAAACAACCAACCUUCUCCACACAAACUAAGAAAUUAUCUUCACAGUACUACAGAACACUGCUGAAAUUUCAAUGACUACUUGGCCAUCAUCACAUAAUCCCAAAGAGCAAUGUUUUCCUGUUGGAAUUUAAGAGAAAAAUAUUCCUCAUUGCCCCUCUGUGUUUCAAAUUCAAACAAAUUUGGAUAACCAUGCACUAAUGAAAGAUACAAAACUUUCUGGUAGCUGGCAAGAAACACAAAGCAAAUGCACAGGGGACUCACCAUCAAAUGAACAUUCACCAGCAGAGGAUUUAAGGUACCUCUGUAUUGGAUUUAGUCAUUUAAGUCACUCUGGUCUUGAACAACUUCAGCAACACUUCCCAUAGCUUAUCCAAAACAUUUCUUAAACAAA